rnacentral:rRNA from 1 species
GACGAGGGGGGCGAGCGUUAUCCGGAAUGACUGGGCGUAAAGGGUCCGUAGGCAGCAUUUUUUGUUAGAGGUAAAAGAAAAAAGCUCAACUUUUUUUGGCUUCUAAAACGUAAAUGCUUUGAGUUUGAAAGGGGAUAGCAGAAUUUCACAUGGAGGGGUGAUAUCCGUAGAUAUGUGAAGGAAUACCAGAGGCGAAGGCGGCUAUCCAGUUCAAUACUGACGUUGAGGGACGAAAGCAUGGGGAGCAAACAGGAUUAGAUACCCUGGUAGUCCAUGCCCUAAAAGAUGAGUGCUCGUGCUUAGAGAUUUUUAGGCACUUAGUUAACACGUUAAGCACUCCGCCUGGGGAGUACGACCGCAAGGUUGGAACUCAAAGGAAUUGACGGGGGCCUAUACAAGUGGUGGAGCAUGUGGUUUAAUGCGACAAUACGCGCGAAACCUUACCAGUUCUUGACAUAAAAAGGAAAGAUUCCGAAAGGAAAAUUUUAAGGAUUUUUACAGGUGCUGCAUGGCUGUCGUCAGCUCGUGUCGUGAGAUGUUAGGUUAACUCCUUUUAACGGGCGAAACCCCUGUUUUUAGUUGCUAUUUAGAUUUUGUUCUAAAGCACUCUAAAAAGACAGCCCCUUAUUUUUAAUUUGGGGAGGAAGGUGGGGAUGACGUCAAGUCCUUAUGGCCCUUAUGAACUGGGCUACACACGUGCUACAAUGGUAAAGACAGAAGGAAGCAAUAGGGUGACCUGGAGCCAAUCCUAAAACUUUGCCAAAGUUCAGAUUGUGGACUGCAACUCGUCCACAUGAAGGUGGAAUCACUAGUAAUCGCACAUCAGAACGUUGCGGUGAAUUUGUACCUAGGCCU